CCUACGUGAGGCAGCAGUGAGGAAUAUUGGUCAAUGGGCGCGAGCCUGAACCAGCCAAGUAGCGUGAAGGAUGACUGCCCUACGGGUUGUAAACUUCUUUUAUAAAGGAAUAAAGUGAGGCAUGUGUGCCUUUUUGUAUGUACUUUAUGAAUAAGGAUCGGCUAACUCCGUGCCAGCAGCCGCGGUAAUACGGAGGAUCCGAGCGUUAUCCGGAUUUAUUGGGUUUAAAGGGAGCGUAGAUGGGUUGUUAAGUCAGUUGUGAAAGUUUGCGGCUCAACCGUAAAAUUGCAAUUGAUACUGGCAGUCUUGAGUACAGUUGAGGUAGGCGGAAUUCGUGGUGUAGCGGUGAAAUGCUUAGAUAUUACGAAGAACUCCGAUUGCGAAGGCAGCUUACUAAACUGCCACUGACAUUGAUGCUCGAAAGUGUGGGUAUCAAACAGGAUUAGAUACCCCAGUAGUC
rnacentral:rRNA from 1 species